UACGGAGGAUCCGAGCGUUAUCCGGAUUUACUGGGUUUAAAGGGUGCGUAGGCGGGCCCCUAAGUCAGCGGUGAAAGUCUGCGGCUCAACCGUAGGAUUGCCGUUGAUACUGGGGGCCUUGGAUUCGGUCGAGGCGGGCGGAAUGCGACAUGUAGCGGUGAAAUGCUUAGAUAUGUCGCAGAACGCCGAUUGCGAAGGCAGCUCGCCGGGCCGUUAUCGACGCUGAGGCACGAAAGCGUGGGGAUCGAACAGG
rnacentral:rRNA from 1 species